CCUACGGGUGGCAGCAGUGGGGGAUAUUGCACAAUGGGGGGAACCCUGAUGCAGCGACGCCGCGUGGGUGAAGGAGUGCUUCGGCAUGUAAAGCCCUAUCGGCAGGGAAGAAGCCAGACGGUACCUGACUAAGACGCCCCGGCUAACUACGUGCCAGCAGCCGCGGUAAUACGUAGGGGGCGAGCGUUAUCCGGAUUCACUGGGUGUAAAGGGAGCGUAGACGGCAGUGCAAGUCUGGAGUGAAAGGCGGGGGCUGAACCCCCGGACCGCUCUGGAAACUGUACGGCUGGAGUGCAGGAGAGGUAAGUGGAAUUCCUAGUGUAGCGGUGAAAUGCGUAGAUAUUAGGAGGAACACCAGUGGCGAAGGCGGCUUACUGGACUGUAACUGACGUUGAGGCUCGAAAGCGUGGGGAGCAAACAGGAUUAGAUACCCUAGUAGUC
rnacentral:rRNA from 1 species